AUUGAACGCUGGCGGCAUGCCUUACACAUGCAAGUCGAACGGUAGAGUAGCAAUACUUGAGAGUGGCGAACGGGUGAGUAAUAUAUCGGAACGUGCCCGGUCGUGGGGAUAACGUAGCGAAAGCUACGCUAAUACCGCAUACGAUCUACGGAUGAAAGCGGGGGAUCGCAAGACCUCGCGCGAUUGGAGCGGCCGAUAUCAGAUUAGGUAGUUGGUGAGGUAAAGGCUCACCAAGCCGACGAUCUGUAGCUGGUCUGAGAGGACGACCAGCCACACUGGGACUGAGACACGGCCCAGACUCCUACGGGAGGCAGCAGUGGGGAAUUUUGGACAAUGGGCGCAAGCCUGAUCC
rnacentral:rRNA from 1 species